AGCGAACGCUGGCGGCAGGCUUAACACAUGCAAGUCGAGCGGGCACUUUCGGGUGUCAGCGGCGGACGGGUGAGUGACGCGUGGGAACGUGCCUUCUGGUUCGGAAUAACUCAGGGAAACUUGAGCUAAUACCGGAUACGCCCUUUUGGGGAAAGGUUUACUGCCGGAAGAUCGGCCCGCGUCUGAUUAGCUAGUUGGUGGGGUAACGGCCUACCAAGGCGACGAUCAGUAGCUGGUCUGAGAGGAUGAUCAGCCACACUGGGACUGAGACACGGCCCAGACUCCUACGGGAGGCAGCAGUGGGGAAUAUUGGACAAUGGGCGCAAGCCUGAUCCAGCCAUGCCGCGUGAGUGAUGAAGGCCUUAGGGUUGUAAAGCUCUUUUAUCCGGGACGAUAAUGACGGUACCGGAGGAAUAAGCCCCGGCUAACUUCGUGCCAGCCGCCGCCGUAA
rnacentral:rRNA from 1 species